rnacentral:rRNA from 1 species
UACAGAGGGUGCGAGCGUUGUCCGGAAUCACUGGGCGUAAAGGGCGCGUAGGUGGCCUGAUAAGUAGGGGGUGAAAUCUCGUGGCUCAACUGCGAGGCUGCCUCCUAAACUGUCAGGCUCGAGCAGAGUAGAGGCAGGUGGAAUUCCCGGUGUAGCGGUGGAAUGCGUAGAGAUCGGGAAGAACAUCGGUGGCGAAGGCGGCCUGCUGGGCUCUUGCUGACACUGAUGCGCGACAGCGUGGGGAGCAAACAGG